GGAGAGAUGUCCGAGUGGUCUAAGGAGCACGCCUGGAGAGCGUGUAGGCGCGUUGCGCCUCCUGGGUUCGAAUCCCAGUCUCUCCG
rnacentral:tRNA from 1 species